UACAGAGGGGGCAAGCGUUGUUCGGAAUUACUGGGCGUAAAGGGCGCGUAGGCGGCCUGCUAAGUCGAACGUGAAAUCCCUGGGCUCAACCCAGGAACUGCGUCCGAUACUGGUUGGCUUGAAUCCGGGAGAGGGAUGUGGAAUUCCAGGUGUAGCGGUGAAAUGCGUAGAUAUCUGGAGGAACACCGGUGGCGAAGGCGACAUCCUGGACCGGUAUUGACGCUGAUGCGCGAAAGCCAGGGGAGCAAACGGG
rnacentral:rRNA from 1 species